AAGAUUUUAUAUUGGAGAACAGACACGUGAAGUGUCACAUUAGAGAACCAGAAGAAGAGGUGAAUGGGGAGAAAAGUUAACUCAAGGCUUAAAAACUGUCUUAUCUCCUUCCCUUUGUAAGACUGGACUUUUAGGAAGAGUGGGGAAUGAAGACCACUUACCAAAGUUUGGAAGGUACCCCCUGGGAAUGCAUUGAUCCUCAGGUUGUGAAUGAACAUCUUUGACACUUUUGAUAAAGGCUUGUGUUUACAAAUAGAUGCACCUGCGGAAUCCAUCCAGUGGUGUUAACAGAACUGACCAAUUCAUCAUAAGGCUAUUCUCCAUCAUCUCUGAAGAGUUCUUUGAUCAGCAGAAAUCCCACGGAGUGGAAAAAGACAAAUGUUAGAGACGGACCUGGGAAACCACAGGCCAGUCAGUCUUAGUUUAACAUCCGUCAUGAGGAAAACCAGGAAACAAGUUCUCACAGAAGCCAUCUCCAAACACAAAAGGCCAAGAAGGCAAUUGGGAACAGCUAGUCUUAAUUCACCAAGGGCAUACAGUUCUUGAUGAAUCUGGUUUAAAGAUGAAUUGGCCACAGCUUUAUGAAAAAGUGAAGAAUAAAGAAUGUAAUUUACCUCGACUUUACCAAGGGUUUCAAUACAGAAUUAUGGCAGCUGUUUCAAAGAGACAGAGUGUUCUGAGUAAAGAAGUAACUGAACGUUUGAGCCUAGAGAGUAGUAUAGCUGACUGCUGCUUGUGAACAACAUGAUGUAGAGCCCCAGUGAGACACAGGACACUACCAAACACAACUCUCUCCAAAAUACCUGGAAACAGGCAAAAUAUAUUUUACUUGUUAAUAUUAUAACCACUAUUGAACACCAAUCUUUUGCUGAUGUGCAGUCUACCAAUAUCUAAAUAAGGAAGUGGGGAGGUGGGAAGGAAUUACAUAAAGUAAGGCGCCCUUUUGAUAGGCCUCCUUCUCCAGGAAGUUUUCAAAAGAUUUUUUGUUUGUUUUUAAGUACUUGAGAAGUUACUGUAUGCUUCUUUUCUAAUUCAGGUACCUGGCUGUCAGAUUAUACACUAGCUUGAUGCACUUAUCCAACAGAAAGGACUGUGAGAAAAGUGAGUUUAGUUUUGAUUGUGAAAUCAGGAUUGUUCUAAACUAUAAACAGCAUCCUAUAGUAUAGCAUGCUUUUAUACUGUGAACUUCAAUAAAAUACUUAAAUAGCUUAUGCCUUCAUUUCAUAAUGAUUAAUAAAAAAUCUGUAUUUAUAAGUUUGAAAGUGAGAAAGAUAACAUUUUACAUUUCAUUGUUUGGGCAAUAAACAAGUAAUGAAGUUCAAGUCAUAACGAAGAAGGUCACCAACUCAAGACUGUAAGUGACAAAGAUGUCAUGACCUCUGAAGUCAUUAAGUCUCAUUUCUUGCUGUUUGAGAUUGAGAUGAGAAACCCAAGCUGAAAUAAACUAAGGAACUUUGAAAGUUUCUCUGGAGACUUAAUGAACUCAAGGAUAGGAAAGGACAUUUUACAAUUUUUAUAGCUCGAAUAUUAAAGUUUAUAUUUCAUACAGUUACUCUUUUAACCAGAAAGCCCAAUAAAGAGUCCCAAUGCACAGCAGCAUUGUAAUUCUAUUAUAUAGAUAACCUCAAAUAGUACAUCAUUUCAAUGAUAAAUGGGUACUUCAGCAGCCUAACCACUCUAGAGAACCUCCUCAUGAAGAAAACUGGUGCUACAGAAUACUUAUCUGAAUUGCUUCUUUAGGGUUGUGUUCACAUCCCAGGCCCUCAGCUGGGUAAUCCCCGGUGUCAAAGGACUCAUUCAACCUGUAUUAGCCACUUCACCAGAGAUCUAUAUGGAGCUCAAACUGUCCCACAUGUGUGGGGUUAAUCACACAGAUUCACACAGAAUCAGAGAAUGUCGGAUUGGAAGGGACUACGAAAGAUUGUCUAGUUCAACCCCCCUACCAGAGCAGGAACACCUAGAUGAGGUUACAUAGAAAUGUGUCCAGGUGGGUUUUGAGUGAGAAGGAGUCUCCACAACCUCCCUGGGCAGCCUGUUCCAGUAUUCUGUCACCCUCACUAAGAAGUUUCUUCUCGUAUUUAAGUGGAACCUCUUGUGUUCCAGGUUAUACCCAUUACCCCUUGUCCUACCAUUGGUUGUCACUGAGAAGAGCCUGGCUCCAUCCUUGUGACACUCACCCUUUACAUAUUUAUAAACAUUAAUGAGGUCACCCCUCAGUCUCCUCCAAGCUAUAGAGACCCAGCUCCCUCAGCUUCUCCUCAUAAGGGAGAU